UACGAAGGGGGCUAGCGUUGCUCGGAAUCACUGGGCGUAAAGCGCACGUAGGCGGACUCCUAAGUCGGUGGUGAAAUCCUGGAGCUCAACUCCAGAACUGCCUUUGAUACUGAAGAUCUUGAGUUCGGGAGAGGUGAGUGGAACUGCGAGUGUAGAGGUGAAAUUCGUAGAUAUUCGCAAGAACACCAGUGGCGAAGGCGGCUCACUGGCCCGAUACUGACGCUGAGGCACGAAAGCGUGGGGAGCAAACAGGGA
rnacentral:rRNA from 1 species